rnacentral:rRNA from 1 species
CUUCCUAUGGGACGCAGCAGUGGGGAAUAUUGCACAAUGGGGGGAACCCUGAUGCAGCGACGCCGCGUGAGUGAAGAAGUAUUUCGGUAUGUAAAGCUCUAUCAGCAGGGAAGAAAAUGACGGUACCUGACUAAGAAGCCCCGGCUAACUACGAGCCAGCAGCCGCGGUAAUAAGUAGGGGGCAAGCGUUAUCCGGAUUUACUGGGUGAAAAGGGAGCGUAGACGGCGAAGCAAGUCAGAAGUGAAAGCCCGCGGCACAACUACGGGACUGC